rnacentral:miRNA from 1 species
CUGGCGAUGAAAGCUGAAGAC